GAUGAAGAACGCAUCGAAAUGCGAUACUUGGUGUGAAUUGCAGAAUCCCGUGAACCAUCGAGUCUUUGAACGCAAGUUGCGCCCGAAGCCAUUAGGCCGAGGGCACGCCUGCCUGGGCGUCACACGUCGUUGCCCCCCCAUCUACUCCUUCGGGAUUGCGGGGGGCGGAUGAUGGCCUCCCGUGCGCCUCGCCGCGCGGUUGGCAUAAAUGCCAAGUCCUCGGCGACGCACGCCACGACAAUCGGUGGUUGCGAAACCUCGGUUGCCCGUCGUGUGCGGUCGUCGCGCAUCGAGGGCUCGAAAAAAUUGCCGGGUUCCGGCUCGGCUUUCAACGCGACCCCAGGUCAGGCGGGGUUACCCGCUGAAUUUAAGCAUAUCAAUAAGCGGAGGA
rnacentral:misc_RNA from 1 species